rnacentral:rRNA from 1 species
UACGGGGGGGGCAAGCGUUGUUCGGAAUUACUGGGCGUAAAGGGCGCGUAGGCGGUUCGCUAAGUUGGAUGUGAAAACUCUGGGCUUAACCCAGAGCCUGCAUCCAAAACUGGCAAACUUGAGUACUGGAGGGGAAAGCGGAAUUCCUGGUGUAGCGGUGAAAUGCGUAGAUAUCAGGAGGAACACCAGUGGCGAAGGCGGCUACCUGGACCAGCACUGACACUGAGGCACGAAAGCGUGGGGAGCAAACAGG